rnacentral:rRNA from 1 species
UACGUAGGGUGCGAGCGUUGUCCGGAAUUAUUGGGCGUAAAGAGCUUGUAGGCGGUUUGUCGCGUCUGCUGUGAAAAUCCGGGGCUCAACCCCGGACUUGCAGUGGGUACGGGCAGACUAGAGUGUGGUAGGGGAGACUGGAAUUCCUGGUGUAGCGGUGAAAUGCGCAGAUAUCAGGAGGAACACCGAUGGCGAAGGCAGGUCUCUGGGCAUUACCUGACGCUGAGGAGCGAAAGUGUGGGGAGCGAACAGG